GAGCAAAAAACAACAGUUUUCGAUGUUGAUCCUGACAUGCCUGCCAGAGGUGUUGCUAAAAGUUUGUUGCCUAGACAGCCAGAUGAGGGCAAUUAUGUGAAACAUGGCUUACUUGGCAGGGAUAUCGGAAAAAUUUUGUUGCCUAGACAAUCAGAUAAUGGCACUUUUGUGGAACCUGAUUUGCAUAAUCGAGAUAUUGGAAAAAGUUUGUCACAUAGACGAUCAGAUGAUGACACCUUUAGUUCGUAUGAAAAUGAAAGUAAAGAUAUUGGAAAAACUUUGUUACAUAGACAAUCAGAGGAUGGC
rnacentral:misc_RNA from 1 species